UUGAACGCUGGCGGCGUGCUUAACACAUGCAAGUCGAACGCGAAAGGGGCUUCGGCCCCGAGUAGAGUGGCGCACGGGUGAGUAACGCGUGGAUGAUCUGCCCUGAUGUUGGGAAUAACAGUUGGAAACGGCUGCUAAUACCGAAUACGCUCCCCUUUCACGAUGGGAGGAAAGACGGCCUCUGCUUGCAAGCUGUCGCAUGAGGAUGAGUCCGCGUCCCAUUAGCUAGUUGGUGAGGUAAUGGCCCACCAAGGCGACGAUGGGUAGCCGAUUUGAGAGGAUGAUCGGCCACACUGGAACUGAAACACGGUCCAGACUCCUACGGGAGGCAGCAGUGGGGAAUAUUGCGCAAUGGGCGAAAGCCUGACGCAGCGACGCCGCGUGAGGGAUGAAGGUCCUUCGGAUCGUAAACCUCUGUCAGAAGGGAAGAAAGCAGCGGGUGCCAAUCAGCCUGCUGUUGACGGUACCUUCAAAGGAAGCACCGGCUAACUCCGUGCCAGCAGCUGC
rnacentral:rRNA from 1 species